GAUAUUUUUCUUUAAUAAUCCUACCUAUCUCGUCCCUAAUCGAUUUUUUUUUGUUCAAAUCUAGCUACUUUUAUUGCACAUUAAUUUGAUUCAUUUCAGAUUUUAUGUUAUCCAACUUAGAUGCCAAAGAUGGCGUCUGAUACAAUUUAUGGGUACAUUGUUAUUGUGUACGUUUGCAACACAUUUUCCUAUAUUUUGACCAGUGCUUAUUAAAACUCAAAAAUUUAAUAAUUUAAGAAUUAUAACCAAAAUCCUGCAAGAUCCAAUAGAAAAAGAAACAACAAAUAAGGGAGAAUUAAGUGAUUAGAACUUCUUCCAAUCGAACUAGUGUCGUGUUGUUAAUUUUUCUUUCAUAUUAAUAUAUAUAAUAUUCGUGAUGGGUAAUAUGUUAGUUUAAAAGAAUUUAGCCAUUUUUUCAACUUUGUUACUUUUUUUUCCCCGUUGCAUUUUUUCCUAAAAUCCACUGAUCAGUAUUCAAGGUGAUUAUUAUUUUUGCCAUUGAUAUGUCCAUCUCCUUAAAGUAGAUGCAUCGCCAAUCUACAUGUUUUUACUAGAUUCUCUAUUGUAUCUACAUUGUAAUAUCACUAUUUAUCGAAUCACAAGUCACAACCAAUAGUUACGUGUCGUUUGUGUAAAUAGCCUUCUUUCCAAAAAUCAUAUUUUAUUCGGUGAACACCGAGUCAAUGUACAUUUUGACUACGGGGAUACCUUUCCAAGGCUUAUCUUGGACAGCUUGCAGAGAUAAGUCUGUUUUAUUAUACAAAAAUAUUUCAGUUAAAGCAUUUUCUAACUUGGUAGUCAAAUAAAUGAACCGGAUAUUAAAUAUGUAAAUACUGAAGAUUUAUUUUCAAAAAAAGGACGAUAUAUCCAUUUAUAAAAUAGGUAUGAACAAGUUCGAUUCGUCUAAAUAUCCAAAAUAAAUAUAUAAUGACCACUUUAUUGAUGUAAAAUUGUUCAAAAGAUCAAGUGCGAAUAUUUUGAAUAAAGAUUAGGUACCUUGUGGAUACAAUAGAAUAGGAAGUUCACUCAUUUGAUACUUUACAAAAAUAAUUUACCUUCUUUUCAGAAAAGAAUAUUUCGUGACAUUAAUAAAUAAUUAUUGUAUAGUGCAUCUUCUCAAGUUAAGUCUCAGGUAAUAUACAGGGUCGUUCAGGUAAAUCCGGACCAUCUUUAACUACAUCUUGAACAAUAAGGAAAACAUUUAACUCUCUCUGCUAUUUCAAUUAUAAAGUGAGAGGUUGAGUGUUAGCUUUAAGUUUGUUGCGCAACUUUUAACUCAAAACAAGUAUUCACGAUGUAGGAGACCACGGGGAACACCAUCAUCGAAUUGGUUUGGACGGGACACAUCCCAGCGUAGAUCAAGAAGAUGCUCGGGUAUCCAAAUACCACAGUUUACGAAAUCUACAACUGUUGGAAGGAGGAGGGGGCAUAUAAGAGAAAAGCCCACAAGUCCCGGAGUGUUCAAAAAUACACUCCCAGAUUCCUCGUAGGCCUGAAACGGUCUGUGAAGGCAUCUCCUGGAACUUCAAUCAACCUUUUGCCAAAAAAAAAACGAAGUAAGUCGUUCAACAGCCUCCAGGGGCAUGAACACUUACCUGAGGAGUAAGUCAUUCCUUCCUCUACAAAAGACAUCUCCUUACAGACAAAAUGUCACCCGGGUUGCCCACGGAAGAAAAUUGCGGAACGAUUUGAAGUCUCAUGGUAUCCGAAUCAUCUUUUAUUCGGAUGAGAAACAAUGGACUGUUGACAGAUCCCACACCAUCCAGAACGACAUAUGGUUGGCCACAAAGAGAGCUAAUAUCCUUCAAGUCUUUAAAACCAAGUUUCCGGGUAGCAUUGGGGGCAUUGGGAACAAUGGCAAUGUCAUGCCCCGCCCCAAUCUUCUUUGAGCAAAAAGAGAGGGUGGCUGCCAACAGGUACUGUUUAAGUGAUACUUUAAAUGAUAGCUGAGGCCCAUGAUUCCUGUUUCAACAAGACUGAGCCCCUCUCACAAGGCCCGCAAGACCCAACACUUGUUGAAUUAAGAGAAGGUACCAUUUUGGACCCCCAGACCUAGUCAUUUAACUCCCCAGAUAUUGAUCCCAUGGAUUACUUCUUUUAUGGGGAGUUAAGAUUGAUUCAUUAAUAGGUAGCUGCCUCUCAAAAACCCACUAUGAGCAUAUUUCGUAAGUGAGAAGAUACCGCGUUCAUUUUAAGGAGGGGUUUUUGGUGGUAUACGGGAAAGGCCUACGGGAAACACGUUCUUAGUCAUAACAUAUGAUGUUCAAGUUCAAACCGAUUUCAAAAAGUUCGUCUCAUGUUCAUUAGAUUGGAAUUAGGGAUCUGAUAAAUAACAAUCUGUGAUGAUAGGCGAUAGGGGUCAACUACGGCAUGGGAGAAAAUAAUUUCUUGGGUUUCGUGGUUAUGGAGGAUUCCUUGUUGGCCUAUUCCUUCAUAUGUUACCCGCAUUGAAAUAAUUUGACAAUGGGGCAGCCCCUUAGAAACUUGGAUGGACAUUAUGUUUGAGAGGGGUUUAUCGCCCGGAAUGAAUGCCCUCUCCAGUUCAAAGUUUGCAAUUCGAGUCAAAAGGAAUUCAUAGUAUGAAUGAUGCAAAACUUAACUACUACCAACAUAUUCUAUAAAUUGCCAUACAAUGUUGAAUAUUGGCCAACUCCAUAGGCUCAUAUUCCACGUCGAGCAAAUAAAUUAUCAAUCUUUUUUUUUUUUGUCAAAAUGGACGAUAGGAACAGUAUCUAACCGGCGUAGUGAGAUGCUGUCAAUUCCAUGGACUCCUCCAAUGUUUGAUUAAUGAUUAUUCUCUCUUUCCCGUAACACCAGCAGAGGACCCCAUGGAGGGUCUCCGAGUCUGAGGCUCUCCUAUUCAUUAAUUUUGUACUUAAGUAUAUUGUCUUGCAACAAAAGCUUAGAUUUAUAGCCAUAUUGGUAAUGGAACUUCAAUAUGCCAUAUAAAUAUGAGAGAUAGACGAAGCUUCGGAUUUGGCUUCGGAAUCACCGAAGGAAAAAUGAGGUUUUUCGGAAUCCGAAGUUUUUUUUUGGCGCCUCCUCGGAUCAUUUUUUAAAGUAUGAUUUGAUGUGCCAGGUUUAGCUUAUUGAGCCACCUCAUCAAAAGUCACAUUAUUUUUUUAUAUAUAUAUGAAGUACUUUCUAAUUAAAAAUAUGAGUUGAACUAAACAACUGCGAGAUUUCAUUCAUUUUUAAUAAAUUUUUAAACUUAA
rnacentral:lncRNA from 1 species